GUUAGAUCCAAGUACUCUAAGUCUUUUCUUAGAGUCUCUUCCAAAGUUUUCCUAGGUCUUCCUCUACCCCUUCGGCCCUGAACCUCUGUCCCGUAGUCACAUCUUCGAACCGGAGCGUCAUUCGGCCUUCUUUGCACAUGUCCAAAUCACCGGAGCCGAUUUUCUCUCAUCUUUCCUACAAUUUCAGCUACUCCUACUUUACCUCGGAUAUCCUCAUUCCCAAUCUUAUCCUUUCUCGUGUGCCCACACAUCCCACGAAGCAUCCUCAUCUCCGCUACACCCAUUUUGUGUACGUGUUGAUGCUUCACCGCCCAACAUUCUGUGCCAUACAACAUCGCUGGCCUUAUUGCCGUCCUAUAAAAUUUUCCCUUGAGCUUCAGUGGCCUACGACGGUCACACAACACGCCGGAUGCAUUCUAAACACUUCAUCCAUCCAGCUCGUAUUCUAUGGUUGAGAUCUCCAUCUAAUUCUCCGUUCUCUUUGCAAGAUAGAUCCUAGGUAGCGAAAACGGUCGCUUUUUGUGAUCUUCGCUAGAUUGCUCCGGUCAUUAGUGUGGAUAAGUAUAUAAAUGGAUAGAGAUAGGAAAGCAAACACAAGAUGUACGUGGUUCACCCAUAUAUUGGCUUACGUCCACGGAAUAGAAGAGUUCUCAUUAAUUGUGAAGGGUUUACACAAGUACAUAGGUUCAAGCUCUCCUUUAGUGAGUACAAGUGAAUGAUUUAGUACAAAUGACAUUAAGAAAUAUUGUGGGAGAAUGAUCUCGUAAUCACGAAACUUCUAAGUAUCGGAGUGUGGAGUCGUCUUGACUUGCCUUAUCUGUCUCAUAGGUAGAUGUGGCAUCUUCUCUGGAAGUACUCUUCCUCCAUCCAGGGGUGGUAUCUUUAACUGGUGGAGAUGCACAAGGUAAUGUAUCAAUUUCACUUGAAGCUUACUUGUAGUUUCAGGCUUGGUCAAGCGCGAUACAAACCAUGUAGUAGGAGUCCCCCAAGUCGCCGAGCUAGGGGGUCUGCUGAAAGAGGUGACAGACAAGGUAAGCAAUCAGAGCUCCGACUGAUUGUUCACCUUCUCCCCAUCUUGCAGCAGCAUGAAGGAUAAAGAGAAGAAAAAUGAGAAGAGAUGAUAUGAGAUACUUUUGCUUUUGAAGAAGUAACUUUCCACAGGCUUAUUCUUGAACUGAGGCUGGAGGGUUUUCUGGUUUCCUCCAGAGUAUAAGGCCGACUGAAGAAUUUGAGGGUCAAAACAAGUCCAUCAAAUCUAGAAUACGUUCCACCCUGCUGAUAUGGGAUACUUUUGCUUUUGACAGAGUAAUGGAUGUAUCGGCACGUGUGCUGUUACGCUUGUCUCCACAUGCUUCCUUGUAUCCUUCGCACUUGCCCUAUCUGUUCCUCAAGCAGAUGCAGAAUCUUCCCUGGAAACAUAAGAUGUUGAAGAUGAGUACUCGAGAGCAAUGCCAGGUAAGUAAUCAGGUAAGGGGUUCCAGGCAGUCAGUUCUUGGCUGGAAGCUUGAUUCCAAGUGCUGACUGAUUGCUCUCUCUUUCUCCUUGUCUUGCAGGUAAAAACAAGGCCAAAGGAAAAGACAGGGAAAAAAGCAUGAUAUGGGAUACUCUUGCUUUUAACCCUGAUGAUAUGAGAUAUUCUUGCUCUAGUAUAGGCUUGUUUGCAGAGGUAUUAUCGGGGGGAAAGAAAGCUGAAUAUUUCGAAAGGCUUCGUUGGGAGUGCCCUCUCAGAUAUGAUGAAGGGUUGAGCAUUUUUUGCAGGUCUGCCUGUCCGUUGGGGAUGGAGGUUGACAUAUAUAGGAGUCUCCCUAACAAGUAGUAAUGCUAUUCCUUUACCCUGCUUGGUCAUAGCACGGUAGUGGGAGCUGUCAGUUUCACAUGUUUUAACUCUGUCAGAGCACUUUGAAAAAGUGGUCUGUGGUAUCUGGCUCUCGAGAUUCGGAGAACGAUGCCUCUUCGAUUUUUGAGAAAGCAAUCAUGCUGGGGGUCUGGCUCUCGAGAUUCGGAGAGCAGUGUCUCUUCGAUUUUUGAGGAAGUAAUCAUGUUGGGAGUCUGGCUCUCGAGAUUCGGAGGGCGGUGCCUCUUUCGAUUUUGGAGCAAGCAAUCUUGUUGGGAGUGUUUGUCUCGAAUGUGAGUAAAGGUUGGGCAUGUUUGCUAGUCUACCUUGCCACGAAGCACAAAGGUUGAUACACAGGGACUUUCCAAUUAUCCAGCAAUGGUACUGUUCCUUUUACCCUCUCUUCGAUUUUGAGAAAGUAGUCAUGUUGGGAGUCUGGCUCUCGAGAUUCGAGGACGGUGCCUCUUCGAUUUUGGAGCAAGCAAUCUUGUUGGGAGUGUUUUUUCUCGAAUGUGAGUAAAGGUUGGGCAUGUUUGCUAGUCUACCUUGCCACGAAGCACAGAGGUUGACACACAGGGACUUUCCAAUUAUCCAGCAGUGGUACUGUUCCUUUACCCUUGUGGGUAAUAAUAUGGUAGCUAGACCUUCAAAAUUUAUGGGUCUAAACUUUGUUAGUGCUGUUUCUUUGCUAUUCUUUUACCCUUCUUGGUCAGAGCGAUGUAGUGGGAGCUGCAAGCUUCACGUGCUCAACUUUGGCAGAGAACUUUGGCAAAGUUUUUCUGUGGUACCCCAUGAGCUAUUGUUGCGUGUGGGAAGUGGGUGAUUGAACAGUAAGAUUCAUGUGUUUUCUACUUCCCCAGAAAGUCUUCGACAGAAUGCCCAUAAUUUCCGCAAAGCUGAGUGUGCCGCGUGACAGGUGCUGACAAGGCUGGAAAAAGUAGGUGCCUCUUCGAUUUCUGAGAUCGGCCCUCGUGGUCUCUGGGGGAGCCCCAGCUUUUGAGAAAGCGAGCGCCUCUUCAAUUUCUGAGACCAGCCUUCGUGGUCUUUGAGCAGCCCAACUUUUGAGAAAGCAAACGCCUCUUAGAUUUCUGAGAUCAACCCUCGUGAUCUCUAAGCAGCCCAGCUUUUGAGAAAGCAAAACGCCUCUUCGAUUUCUGAGCAGGCGCCUCUUCGAUUUCUGAAGCUCCGUCGAGUGCAGAUUUUUAUAAGGGCUGGCAUUAAGUUCCAAAGCACACUUGAAUCUCCACCAGUAGAAGCUUCAUUCUUGCACUUCUAAGAUCUUGAUUUGUCCGACCUCUUCUCUCUUCAACACCUUUGAAAAUGUCUGGCCCCUCCGACCGUCGUUUUGACUUGAACCUUGUUGAAGAGGCAGCCCCGCCUUCUCCAGACAACAUAUGGCGCCCAUCCUUCGUCUCCCCUACUGGUCCUCUUACCGUUGGGGAUUCUGUGAUGAAGAAUGAUAUGACCGCUGCGGUGGUGGCCAGGAACCUUCUCACUCCCAAAAGAUAACAGACUACUUUCCAAACGGUCUGAUGAGUUAGCUGUUAAGGAUUCGCUGGCUCUCAGUGUUCAGUGUGCAGGUUCUGUGUCUAAUAUGGCCCAACGCCUAUUUGCUCGAACCCGCCAAGUUGAAUCAUUGGCGGCUGAAGUGAUGAGUCUCAAACAGGAGAUUAGAGGGCUCAAGCAUGAGAAUAAAACAGUUGCACCGGCUCGCACAUGACUAUGCUACAAACAUGAAGAGGAAGCUUGACCAGAUGAAGGAAACUGAUGGUCAGGUUUUACUUGAUCAUCAGAGAUUUGUAGGUUUGUUCCAAAGGCAUUUAUUGCCUUCGUCUUCUGGGGCUGUACCGCGUAAUGAAGCUCCAAAUGAUGAUCAACCUCUGAUGCCUCCUCCUUCUAGGGUUCUGUCCAGUACUUGAGGCUCUAAAUGAUCCCCCUCCGGUGCCUUCUCUUUCUGGGGCUCUACCGACUGCUGAGACUUCUCCUAAGCAACCUUUGUGAAGGCUCCCUCUUGUGUGUUUUUAUUUUGACUCAUGUAUAUGUACAAUAUUUGUAGCUUAUCGGGGAUAUCAAUAAAUAAGCUUUCCUUCAUUUCAACGUAUUGUGUUAAAUACACCAAAGCCUUCUUCGCUAAGUUCUUUGAAUUUUCUUUUGUUGAAGCUUGUAUGUUGAAGCUUUCUGAGUGGAGCAUGUAGGUUGGGGUAGUGUUCCCUUAAUUUUCCGAGUGAGGAAAAACUUCUCGGUUGGAGACUUGGAAAAUCCAAGUCACUGAGUGGGAUCGGCUAUAUGAAUCUUAGAACGCCAUUGUGCUCGAUCCUGUGUCAUGUCCUUCGUUAGAUCCAAGUACUCUUAAGUCUUUUCUUAGAGUCUCUUCCAAAGUUUUCCUAGGUCUUCCUCUACCCCUUCGGCCCUGAACCUCUGUCCCAUCGUCGCAUCUUCUAAUCGGAGCGUCAGUAGGCCUUCUUUGCACAUGUCCAAACCACCGUAACCGAUUUUCUCUCAUCUUUCCUUCAAUUUCGGCUACUCCUACUUUACCCCGGAUAUCCUCAUUCCUAAUCUUAUCCUUUCUUGUGUGCCCACACAUCCAACGAAGCAUCCUCAUCUCUGCUACACCCAUUUUGUGUACGUGUUGAUGUUUCACCGCCCAACAUUCUGUGCCAUACAGCAUCGCCGGCCUUAUUGCCGUCCUAUAAAAUUUUCCCUUAAGCUUCAGUGGCAUACGGCGGUCACAUAACACGCCGGAUGCACUCUUCCACUUCAUCCAUCCAGCUUGUAUUCUAUGGUUGAGAUCUCCAUCUAAUU
rnacentral:lncRNA from 1 species